UACAGAGGUCUCAAGCGUUGUUCGGAUUCAUUGGGCGUAAAGGGUGCGUAGGCGGCCCGGUAAGUCCGCUGUGAAAGUCGGGGGCUCAACCCUCGAAUGCCGGUGGAUACUGUCGGGCUAGAGUGCGGGAGAGGCGAGUGGAAUUCCUGGUGUAGCGGUGAAAUGCGCAGAUAUCAGGAGGAACACCAAUUGCGAAGGCAGCUCGCUGGAACGUAACUGACGCUGAGACGCGAAAGCGUGGGGAGCAAACAGG
rnacentral:rRNA from 1 species